AUUGAACGCUGGCGGCAGGCCUAACACAUGCAAGUCGAACGAGUGGCGGACGGGUGAGUAAUGUCUGGGAAACUGCCCGAUGGAGGGGGAUAACUACUGGAAACGGUAGCUAAUACCGCAUACCAUCGGAUGUGCCCAGAUGGGAUGAGCUUGUAGGUGAGGUAACGGCUCACCUAGGCGACGCUCCCUAGCUGGUCUGAGAGGAUGACCAGCAACACUGGAAGUGAGACACGGGCCAGACUGCGACGGGAGGCAGCAGUGGGGAAUAUUGCGCAAUGGGCGCAAGCCGGAUGCAGCCAUGCCGCGUGGAUGAAGAAGGCCUUCGGGUUGUAAAGUAGGUGCAGCGGGGAGGCGGUACCCGCAGAAUAAGCAACGGCUAACUCCGUGCAAGCAGCCGCGGUAAUAC
rnacentral:rRNA from 1 species